rnacentral:rRNA from 1 species
CCUACGGGGGGCUGCAGUAAGGAAUAUUGGUCAAUGGAGGAAACUCUGAACCAGCCAUCCCGCGUGAAGGAUGAAGGGGCUCUGCCUUGUAAACUUCUUUUGUCUGGGGCGAAAAAGCUCGAUUUAUCGAGAACUGACGGUACCAGAAGAAUAAGCACCGGCUAACUCCGUGCCAGCAGCCGCGGUAAUACGGAGGGUGCCGGAGUUAUCCGGAAUAACGGGUGCUUAGGGGUGCUUGGAAGGCUUAGGUGAAAGGCUGUGGCUUAACCAUGGAAUUGCCAUUGAUACUGCCGGGCUUGAAUGAGGUUGAGGUUGGCGGAAUGUGACAUGUAGCGGUGAAAUGCUUAGAUAUGUCAUGGAACACCGAUUGCGAAGGCAGCUGACUGGACCUAUAUUGACGCUGAGGCACGAAAGCGUGGGGAGCGAACAGGAUUAGAUACCCUUGUAGUC